UACGUAGGGGGCUAGCGUUGUCCGGAAUCAUUGGGCGUAAAGCGCGUGUAGGCGGUCCGGUAAGUCCGCUGUGAAAGUCGAGGGCUCAACCCUCGAAUGCCGGUGGAUACUGUCGGGCUAGAGUGCGGAAGAGGCGAGUGGAAUUCCUGGUGUAGCGGUGAAAUGCGCAGAUAUCAGGAGGAACACCUAUUGCGAAGGCAGCUCGCCGGGACGUUACUGACGCUGAGACGCGAAAGCGUGGGGAGCAAACAGG
rnacentral:rRNA from 1 species